GCUUCUUCUACUUGAUUUUGCAGAAAAAGAUAUAAAUCCUGCAUUUAUGACAUCACAGUUUGUUGCCAUGGAAUUUACUAUGCUAUUGCAAACACCCUGUUGUGAUUACAUGACAGCUUCCAAUCAGAGGAUAAAAUCUUUCCCAGUGAGAAAACACAUCUUGAAGUUAAGAAAAUAUGAAUGGGAGAAAUAAAUCAGUCUUUUUAAGUGCUGAGCACCAGCCUGAUACUAUACAGACAUGGAAUGAGACAUUUUUAACUUCACAGAGCUCACAAGUUGAUGUAGACAGACACAUUACAGGGGAGGCUUGCAGUAUGCCUGGCAGGAAUAUAGACUUGAAGCAGUUAUGAGACUGACUGUUGUUACAGUUGCAUUGCAGGAAGGAGCCAGUGAAAUAAUAAAAAGAGAGAGUUUGGAGAGCCACUGGUUAGAGAUGCUCUGUGUGCUUCAGAAGCAAGAAGAGCUAAGAAAAAAAGAGGAUGUGUUUGUAUAUGCAAAGGCAAGGUUGCUCCAUCAGCGUGAGCAAGCAACUGGGGCAUGGAUUGCAUUUCCAGGGAGACGAAGAGGGUGGCAAAGCAGUCAGAGGAGGCUGGGAAGGGCAAAUGCAUGAAGGGAGAGUCAGUGGAUAUUAGGGCAGAGGUGGAACCGCAGCUGUGCUGUGCAGACUUUGAAGGGCUGACUGCAUCCUGGCACAGGGAAGGUAGUGAGGAAUUCAAAAGUGUGGUUUACAUGAGCAAAGGAGACGGAUCUUGGUGUCUCAAAACACAGAAAGUUCCUGAAGAUCUCAAGGAUUUAAAGGAAUUAACACUGCUCUUUAAAAUACCUACCCAGCCUUUGUAUACAAAGAAAACAAACAUAAACAAAUAUAAGUGCUUUAAGAAGUCUAUAACAAUAAUUACCUUUUCUUUCACUUGUUCUUCCUUCAUCCAGAUUUUAUCCUAUUUCUUCUUUCUCGCUUGGUGUAAAUCUGAGAAAGAGCUGACAGAACACAAUAGAAAAUAUUUGCAUAUUACCUGAGAAAACUGCAAACAACAUACCCAAUCCAGUUAUAUAGAGCAUAACACAGUGUAAGGCAUAGGACAGAAGUUCAG
rnacentral:lncRNA from 1 species